UUUCCCUCAGGAUAGCUGGCACUCGCUCGAACGAGUCUCAUCUGGUAAAGCGAAUGAUUAGAGGCCUUGGGGCCGAAACGACCUCAACCUAUUCUCAAACUUUAAAUGGGUGAGAUCUCUGGCUUGCUUGAACGUUGAAGCCACGAGAUAACAUUUAAUAAUGGAUCAGAGUGCCAAGUGGGCCAAUUUUGGUAAGCAGAACUGGCGCUGUGGGA
rnacentral:rRNA from 1 species